CAGGCCUAACACAUGCAAGUCGAACGGUAAGGCCCCAGCUUGCUGGGGUACACGAGUGGCGAACGGGUGAGUAACACGUGGGUGACCUGCCCCGCACUUCGGGAUAAGCCUGGGAAACUGGGUCUAAUACCGGAUAGGACCGCACCGUGAGGGUGUGGUGGAAAGUUUUUCGGUGUGGGAUGGGCCCGCGGCCUAUCAGCUUGUUGGUGGGGUAAUGGCCUACCAAGGCGGCGACGGGUAGCCGGCCUGAGAGGGUGGACGGCCACAUUGGGACUGAGACACGGCCCAGACUCCUACGGGAGGCAGCAGUGGGGAAUAUUGCACAAUGGGCGGAAGCCUGAUGCAGCGACGCCGCGUGGGGGAUGACGGCCUUCGGGUUGUAAACUCCUUUCACCAUCGACGAAGGUUUUCUGACGGUAGAUGGAGAAGAAGCACCGGCUAACUACGUGCCAGCAGCCGCGGUAAUACGUAGGGUGCGAGCGUUGUCCGGAAUUACUGGGCGUAAAGAGCUCGUAGGUGGUUUGUCGCGUCGUCUGUGAAAUUCCGGGGCUUAACUCCGGGCGUGCAGGCGAUACGGGCAUAACUUGGAGUACUGUAGGGGAGACUGGAAUUCCUGGUGUAGCGGUGAAAUGCGCAGAUAUCAGGAGGAACACCGGUGGCGAAGGCGGGUCUCUGGGCAGUAACUGACGCUGAGGAGCGAAAGCAUGGGUAGCGAACAGGAUUAGAUACCCUGGUAGUCCAUGCCGUAAACGGUGGGCGCUAGGUGUAGGGGUCUUCCACGACUUCUGUGCCGUAGCUAACGCAUUAAGCGCCCCGCCUGGGGUACGGCCGCAAGGGCUAAAACUCAAAGGAAUUGACGGGGGCCCGCACAAGCGGCGGAGCAUGUGGAUUAAUUCGAUGCAACGCGAAGAACUUACCUGGGCUUGACAUAUACGGGACCGGGCCAGAGAUGGUCCUUCCCUUGUGGCUCGUAUACAGGUGGUGCAUGGUUGUCGUCAGCUCGUGUCGUGAGAUGUUGGGUUAAGUCCCGCAACGAGCGCAACCCUUGUCUUAAGUUGCCAGCACGUAAUGGUGGGGACUCGUGAGAAACUGCCGGGGUCAACUCGGAGGAAGGUGGGGAUGACGUCAAAUCAUCAUGCCCCUUAUGUCCAGGGCUUCACACAUGCUACAAUGGUCGGUACAGUGGGUUGCGAUGCCGUGAGGUGGAGCUAAUCCCUGAAAGCCGGUCUCAGUUCGGAUCGGGGUCUGCAACUCGACCCCGUGAAGUCGGAGUCGCUAGUAAUCGCAGAUCAGCAACGCUGCGGUGAAUACGUUCCCGGGCCUUGUACACACCGCCC
rnacentral:rRNA from 1 species